ACCACUAUGGUAUGCUCCCAAACUUUCACCCCAAAGAGCCCUAAGUGUUCCUCUACAGACCUCCUGUUCUUCUCAGUAAAUGAGACAUUAUUAAUGUC